GGCAGGCGCCCGUGUAGGGCUGGUUUCACCGUCGCACCACCGGCAAAGUGCUCGUGGGCCUGCGGAGAAACAGUUCUCAGACCUUCCUGGUGAAACGGGAAUUGUUCUGGCGCUGGGGCUGUAUACUCAUGGCAGCACCGGUUAUGGUGGUCAAACACAGGAAACAAAGGACGUCAACAUAGGAAUUUUCACAUGCACUGAGGUGCCUUCAUGCCGCAGAUUAAUAUUCGGCCGUUAAUAGUGAACCCAGUUUAAAAUAUACAGCUUCCUCGGUGGACUCAGAAAAGAAGAUGCGCGCGGCGCCUUACACGAUGCCAUUUUAGAAAACAAAAGGAGACCCCGCCUGUGCGCGCGUGUCCGUUUCGACCGGGGCGUGGAGGAUGGGGAAAAUUACGGAAGUAUACACAACGCUGGCUACACUGGGAUAGCGGAAGAUGAGAGGCGGGGAAAGCCUUAGGACUUAUAAAGUGAAAGGAUCAAACGCAAAACAAAACCAAAAAGCCCGUAAGGCCCCAGGCUCGGAGAGAAAGACCGUGCGGCAGGGUUGACCCCGGGCGCAGGCCGAGUAGCACGGGGCCAAAGGGCCCCCCGCCACGACGCUGCUACGGGUUAUUUCCGCUGGGUGCGCGGGCCUCGGGGCCCUUUGUUAAAGGAGGAAGGGAGAAAGCGGAUGGAGCGCUGCGCCGCCGGGCGGAGUGUCGGGCCCCAGCCGUUUCUCAGCCCCGCCCGCCCCGGCUCUUUGGUCCCGGUCGGUGUGCGCCGGCGGCCGCGCUCCCCUCCCUGGGCCUGGGCCGCCUCUGCUCACCGCCCGAAGACGCCUGCGCGCUGGCCCUCGGGCCCCCUCUCCCUGCCGCCGCCGCGCCCACGUGGCGCCCACUCCCACAGCUCUCCUCCGCGCAGCCAUUUGCUCCCCACCCCCCAGCUCUUGAAAUCUCUGCAGAGCAGACUGUGUCCACUUUUCAAUGAGACUGCAGUGCAGAGGCUCUGGGCUCCUCCAGUGGCUCUAUCAACAGUGUCAGCACACAGACCAGGGGAGACUGCCCUGCCAGCAAGCAGCUCAGGCCAAGUGAAGAACAUGGGAACACAAGGGCAUGAACUGAUUCAUGGAAUCUCGCCUGGGGAAGGGUCCAUAUAGAUUCUGACCAGAUAGGUCCCUGUCUUCAACAAACAGCCUUUGACAAACUUGGGGUACAAGCAUUACUGCAUAAAGUAGUAGGCUCCAUUUUACCUCUUACUCUGAAGAUCACCCAUGAGUUCCCCAAUGCCAUGGGCUUUGCCAAUUGUCAUUGAACAAUAUAAGCAGUUAAGUUCAGCAAAACAGAUUAAGGCUAUACACUGAACAGUAUAAGCUAUCUCCCUUGGGGAAACACAGGAUGAGAGGAUCCAUUAAAUGUAGGUGUAGGCCAAGGCCCUGUUCUCCAGGUUUGUUAUGUCAAGAUUGGGAUCAGACAAGCACUCAUCCAUUCAUUAAUUUAUUUACUUACACAUUUGACAAACAUUUAUAGAGCACCUCUGAAGUUUCAAGCACUAUGCUAGGAGUUAGUUAUGUGAAGGUGAAUAGGACUCAAUUCCCUGUCUUGAAGAAGUUCAGUCUCAUGGUGGAGAGCAAAGAAAACCAACAGGUACAGUAAGGUACUGUGAUGGAUGCACAGAUGGUCACUGCUCUUGUCAUUGUUAUGUCCUACCUUGGUUCAAGUAUGGUGGCAUAUAAAAAGUCAGGGAAGAGUAACACCUGAAUUGAACACCUGAAGAGUAAGUAGGAAUUAGUCAGGGGAAGGGGAAAAGAAGGAAUGUACAGAGGGUGGGACCAACUUGUGCAAAUGUACAGAGAAGAGAGCGAGUGAGAACAUGGCUCAGAGUUUUACAUGGUUCAGUGUGGAUGGAAUAAAGGAUGAGGGAGGAUGGAAUGGAAGAGAUAGGCAAGGGUGGAGGCAUUGGAACCAGGUGACAGAGGCUCUUGCUAUCAUGCUAAGGUACAGGUUGGGUCUUAUGCUUGUUUUGUCCCCCAUAGGCCUCAGACAAUGAUGGAUAUAUAUAUUACUUGUUAAUAAACAUCUGAAGACAAUGAUGAAUCAUUGAAGGGUUUUAGGCAGGGGAGAAGCAUGACCAGGUUUGCAUAGGAGACAGUAUGUCAGGGGAAGACUUGAGGGUGAGAGUGGAGGCAGGAAGACCAGGUAGGUACCUGUGGUGAUUCAGGUGAGGUGAAGAUGGACUGAACUAAUGUAAUUCCAGUGGGAGUGGAGAGAAAUGCAUGGACAUAGGGUCAGUACAUGAUAUAGGGGAUGGGACUGCCAUUUUUAGGUCAGAGAGUUUGGAUGCUUUUAUCAUUUCUCAUGGGCACUACCAGACCACACGCAGAAAUUACUGGUCAACGUGACAAUCCUUCAAAACCAGACUCAGACUAUAAAACUGGUGGUCUUUACUUCCCACUAUUGUGUCUGUGUAAGAUGCCACUUCUCAGGUUCCCAUCAAACUUCUCUUGAACUUAUUCUCAUUGCUUCUUAGCCAAGGGAGCAAAAGGGAAAAAAACUAUUCAGAAAGGGAUGAUACUUAACUACCUUUUAGUGACCAGCGUCCUUCCACAAGCUGGGUCAAAGGUGAAGGGGCCUCCAGCAUUCUGUCUUUACACAAUGCCUGAGAGACCAACAGAGACAACUUCAAGUCCUUAUGCAGCAGAAGCUAGAAUGAAUGCCUAGAGGUAGACAGACUUACCCAAGGACAGAGCUGGGGAGCAACCAUGACAUCCAGAAACACAAGUCCCCCUCCACUCCUUUAAUUUCCCCCCAGUCAUAUCAUUAACAAAACAGAGGAAGGAGGAGGAGGUGAAGCCAGGAAUGAGCCAGGUUCAGCUACCAUUGCCACCCCUACCCCCAUUUCCCCAGCUUCAAAGAGAAUAUUGGUGACUGCUGACAUCUAAGUCUUGCAGGUCAGUACAGACUUUUGAGACCUGUUGUACAUCUCUCAGCCAUGUUCCAGCACGUACUGUCUUUCAACACUCGUAUUCACACUGUCCCAAAUUUGAUCUUUCCCUCCUCAACCACACCUCUACUUCCUUCUACUAUUCUGUCCCAUUGCUAAGUCAUCACAAUGUCUUGAGAAUGCCAAUAUUUUUGUGCCCCAAUUUCAUCUCUGGCACCAAGAAGGAGUAUAAGAUUAAUAGUUCUGACACUCUUGGUUCAGAAAAUACUGCUGUUAAGCUCAAGGUGGGGAGGUUGAGAUCCUACCCCCAAUUUCACUAUCUCCAGCCUCCCACGUGCAUCUGCAAACAGGGAACCUCCUGAGGAAACAUGCUCUCGCAGAUUCCACAGCCACCCACCUCCAGGCCUGGUUUCCUCCACUCUCCACUCCCCGGCCCCCACCCCCUGAUGGGAAAAGUGCUUCUUUAGCUUUUUCCUCUUCCCUGUUUGGCUCUAUCACAUCUCACCAGAUCAACACUUAUUUUCUUAAAACCAUAGUGUUUACAUUCAAGGGUCAAAGGUACAAUCCCAUUUUCCUCUGUCAUCGCACCUGGCUUUCCUGCCUUUCAGAAGAAAAUGCUCCAUUCAGAGAUCUUGGUUUAUUUUUUUCCAGGCGGUGAGUCAUAGCCACAGAUUUUACCUCCUGGUGUGUCACAGCAUGGUCAGCUCCCCCAACUCACAGAAGAUGAUCAAAGACUAUAUAUUAUAUGUACUUAUAUUCCUUUAUAUUAACUUGCACAUAAUACUUUAAAAUUUGGAGGAAAAACACCUCAUCAUAUCCUACCUCCCCACCCUUGUUUAAUUCUAUCUCACAUCUGAUAUACUGCAUUGUCCAUUCCCCCUUCCUUUUUCUUUCCCUCCUUCCAGUCUUUCUCUCUCCUCACUAGAAUGUAAACUUUUUGAAGUUUUUAAAGCUUUUGUUUGUUUAAAUGUAAACUUUUUAAAACUUUUAUUUGUUUGAGUUCUAUAUCCCCACCCAGCUAAGUGACUGGCACAUAGUACAUACUCAGUAAAUGUUGAAUAAACAAAUUGUUGAAUGAACAGUUGAUUUUUCCUUUUCUCUGGAACCUACCA